ensembl:lncRNA
GAAAAACUGAAAUCAAGAAUAAUCCUAGGCGCUGCUUUCGAACGUUGGCGGCAACUGAAGGACGAGAAGGGUCUAAAAACCGAUGCUUGUGUGGCGGUUGACCUAGUUUCAAAGUUUAUACCGUUUAAACUCGGUAAUACCGGUGUGGAGACGAGUGUAUUACUCGGUGUGAAAAUGUCCACACCGCGGCAACCCUAGUGAAAACCAGGACUUCCAAUACAAUUAUAUGAAACAAACAUACAUUUUCUAAAAAUAGUAAUGAUUUAUGUGACCGUUUAAUGUUUAUAACAUCUGGUCCAACCAUUGCAGCGAGAACGUAUUCUCAGCAGGGGGUGCAGGGAAAAAAAAAAAACUCAGCCUGCACUAGACUCGCAACUCGUUACAUUGAUAAAAAAAGAUGUAUAGCAGCGCAGCUCAAUUACACCAGUGCAUGCGCGGACAGUUGAAAAUCGAUCGUUCACAUCCAGCUGCUCACAGAACAAGUUUAGCGCACCACCGCUACCCUCACACUUUUUCAUAUAACCUUUUUUCAGCACUAGGUCAUAUGAGCAUUAAAUAAAUGCUGCGUCUCAAAAUGCCUUGGACAGCAGCGAGGAUGACUCGCUUUGCCACGGGCCGAAACAGUUCGGAGCGACCCCUGCCAGAGCGAACACAGCGGGGCAGAGGAGUGUCAGGAAUAGUCUUUGGUGUACACAUCAGUACGGCCUAUUUGCACUACUGUUUAGUGGCAAUGCAGUGUUUUAUUCGAUGCCUUUUUAUUUUCGUAUAUUAUUUCAAUGAAUACAAUUUAUUUAUUCAUAAAAAACGGAUCUGGUCUUCAAAUCUUUUUUCCAAAUAUAGGUCGUCUUACAAUGGGGUUUGUUGUUUUAUUCGAUGCCUUUUUAUUUUCGUAUAUUAUUUCAAUGAAUACAAUUUAUUUAUUCAUAAAAAACGGAUCUGGUCUUCAAAUCUUUUUUCCAAAUAUAGGUCGUCUUACAAUGGGGUUUGUGUUUAUAUUCGGACCAAUACGGUACAGCGGGCGCUCACAUGACGUUAAGCAUUUCCUGGUGCAUAAUGUGACGCUUCA